UAUUUUUCGCUUAGCCUUCAUACAAGGGAAGCAAGCAGUGAGGCACCAGCCUUGAGACAUGAUUGAGGCAAUUUUCAUUGAUGGUGAUAAUAGUGUUAGAAGAACAUGGGGCCAAUGUGAAGUUCAGAUCCAUUUGGACACAGAUAAAUCAAGACACAGGUUCUUUUCCUUGUGAGUUCACUGAUCAAUGCAAUGAAAAGAGGCAGGCCCCAUCUUGACUCAGCUUGAUGGAACUCCUUGGGCACUUCUCUUCUUUUCCAGCAAGCAACAGUGCUGAUAAGAAUAUUCUCACGACUUUUCUUUUGCUUCCAUGGUUCUUUUUCAUUGCUCAACUCCCUGUUAUUAUUAAUUCUCUUUUUUUUUUUAAGCUUCCAUUGCAUCCGGCCAUCAAGACUUAUUAUCUUUGUUGUUUCUGGAAAUAUAAUGGUUAAUUAUUGUUCAAGAAUUAGUAUAACAUUCAGCAUUUCUUUAAUUAAACCGAGCCUAUGAAAUCUUGCAGUGGUUGAGAUUUCAUUUUGUGUAAAUGGACCCUGGAGUGUUCAAUUCCUGGCUUGCAGGAAAGAAAAGUCUCUCAGAGUUUGGUAUUUUACUGUUUAAUUUGUAUCCUAUCGUGUCUUCACAAGUCUCUCAGGAAUUCUGAUUCUUGGAUGGAUCAGAUGCAUUGAAUGAUACUGUCACAGUUACCAUAAUUAUAUAUUGAAUUUAGUGCUCAACAAAUUCCUGCCAUGAGAUAACCUAUUUUCACCUUCCUUCAAUGGGCACGCACUAAAAUUCCCAUGCUACAUGUGUACACACACACGCACGAUGGUAAAUGGGAUCAGACUGGGAGCCUGUAUUUGUAAAUGCUCUGAAUUCGCAAUAUGAUUAUUCUUUUUAAAUGGUCCCCUCUAACGUAGAAGAAAGAUUCAGAGAUGAAAGAUGGUCCCCUCUUUUCAUUUCCUUUCUUUCCCAUGGCAAUCUAUUUUGUUGCUGUUUCAUCAAAAGGAACAGCGUGGUCUCUAAACUUGGUGUGUCUCACUGUUGCCCAGCUUCUGUUUGACGAGUUCGUACAGAGAUGGAGAAUUUGGGAAUCAACUUUGCUGAGUUACACGUGUCAAACACCCAUUUAACCAAGUACACAGUGGCCACUCCAUUCUUACCUCAAGCUGGACAUGCACCAAAUGGAUCCCACAACAUUGGAUACCCGAUGCCACAGAAACCGCAGCUAGCAACAAGAAGAAGAUACGCGGCCUUAGGAUGGAUUGAAACACUGCCCCCCACGAUAAACCUUACAAAUCUGAUCCUUCAGAGAAUUGAAGUUAAAGACAAGCUACGAUUAGUACUUGUAGGUUGUGUUUUAUUUUUUGGUGCUAAAAUAGAGGAUGUAAUGGCAACAUCUCAAGAGAUUUGUCAUGUGUGUAAUUUAAACAUAACCCAGUUGUACAUCUUGUUAAAAAAAGAAUCCAAUUAUGCAUCAAAUGUAUGCUCAUGUUU